AACGAACGCUGGCGGCAUGCCUAACACAUGCAAGUCGAACGGGAUCCUAGCUUGCUAGGUGAGAGUGGCGGACGGGUGAGUAACACGUGGGAAUCUGCCUUUUUGGUUCGGGAUAACCGCGGGAAACUGCGGCUAAUACCGAAUGCCCUCGAGAGAGGAAAGAUUUAUCGCCAGAAGAGGAGCCCGCGUCCGAUUAGGUAGUUGGUGGGGUAAAGGCCUACCAAGCCGACGAUCGGUAGCUGGUCUGGAGAGGAUGAUCAGCCACACUGGGACUGAGAUACGGCCCAGACUCCUACGGGAGGCAGCAGUGGGGAAUA
rnacentral:rRNA from 1 species